UACGGAGGGGGCGAGCGUUAUUCGGAAUUACUGGGCGUAAAGCGCACGUAGGCGGAUCGAUCAGUCAGGGGUGAAAUCCCAGAGCUCAACUCUGGAACUGCCUUUGAUACUGUCGAUCUGGAGUAUGGAAGAGGUGAGUGGAAUUCCGAGUGUAGAGGUGAAAUUCGUAGAUAUUCGGAGGAACACCAGUGGCGAAGGCGGCUCACUGGUCCAUUACUGACGCUGAGGUGCGAAAGCGUGGGGAGCAAACAGG
rnacentral:rRNA from 1 species